GGCAGUUCUUGGGUGACACAUCCUUGAAUCAGGCUCCCUCCUCUCUGGUUCCGGGUGUGUCACCAAGAAUUGCA
rfam:Myotis davidii contig187403, whole genome shotgun sequence.